rnacentral:rRNA from 1 species
GAUGAACGCUGGCGGCGUGCCUAAUACAUGCAAGUCGAGCGAACGGACGAGAAGCUUGCUUCUCUGAUGUUAGCGGCGGACGGGUGAGUAACACGUGGAUAACCUACCUAUAAGACUGGGAUAACUUCGGGAAACCGGAGCUAAUACCGGAUAAUAUUUUGAACCGCAUGGUUCAAAAGUGAAAGACGGUCUUGCUGUCACUUAUAGAUGGUUCCGCGCUGCAUUAGCUAGUUGGUAAGGUAACGGCUUACCAAGGCAACGAUGCAUAGCCGACCUGAGAGGGUGAUCGGCCACACUGGAACUGAGACACGGUCCAGACUCCUACGGGAGGCAGCAGUAGGGAAUCUUCCGCAAUGGGCGAAAGCCUGACGGAGCAACGCCGCGUAAGUGAUGAAGGUCUUCGGAUCGUAAAACUCUGUUAUUAGGGAAGAACAUAUGUGUAAGUAACUGUGCACAUCUUGACGGUACCUAAUCAGAAAGCCACGGCUAACUACGUG